UGCUAGCAAAACCAUUGUAGUGCUCAAUCUGCAUCAGCAGCAACAACAACAUGAAAAAUCAGUUACCAUUGCCAUGAAUUUCAAACAGACGCAUGGCAAGGAUGCAUUGUAUUACCUCAUCACCCAAAAGCAUGAACUGAUGGCCCUUGAUUUUGAUCCAUCCAGCUGGUGCAAAAAUUGCAUCUGCAUUAAACAGGUACUGCAUUCACCAUGUUGCACCAAGCCAAACGAACAAUCAGCAUAAUAGUAGGCCACAUCAACAAGUUAUGGGACAUCAAAGAGUCUCCCAUUCCCAGCACAAUAAGAGCAGAAUGUAUGAGACACAGAGGGAUCCCUCAUUACAGAAGGAGCUUGUGGUUACGGAGAUCUUCACAAAGCUAGCUACGGAAAGCACAGUGUUGGAUUAAGCACAACUUUGUUCAACAGAGGGACUACGUGUGGGGCUUGCUACGAGAUCAGAUGUGUUGACCAUAUCUUGUGGUGUGUGCUUGGAAGCCCUUCUGUAAUUGUUACCGCCACUGAUUUCUGUCCUCCUAAUUACGGUCUCUCAGUUGAUUAUGGUGGCUGGUGUAACUUUCCAAGACAACAUUUUGAGUUGUCACAACCUGCAUUUUCUGAAAUUGCC
rnacentral:lncRNA from 1 species